GACGAACCGUGCGAACGUUAUUCGGAAUCACUGGGCUUAAAGCGCGUGUAGGCGGGCCGACGCGUCGGCGGUGAAAUCCCCCGGCUCAACCGGGGAACGGGCGUCGAUACGGUCGGUCUGGAGGGGCGAAGGGGGACCUGGAACUUCCGGUGGAGCGGUGAAAUGCGUUGAGAUCGGAAGGAACGCCCGUGGCGAAAGCGAGGUCCUGGGCGCCUGCUGACGCUGAGACGCGAAAGCCAGGGGAGCGAACGGG
rnacentral:rRNA from 1 species